AAUAAGGGAUGUUUGGACAGUUACACUCAACCAACAGAAGCAUGUGGACAGACAUUGACUGUAAUGAUGGACAUCUGUUCAUGCACAGGUAAUGUUUAUAAUGUGUCAGUUUGUGCUGUUUUGCUUGUUCUGUAAAUGUGUAGGUUACUAUCAUUUUCUUUCGCUUUCAAAUUCUGAUUCAUUGGCCACUGUAAAUAAUAAGUGCAGUAAAUGAUAAAACUAUUUGUACUACAAACCAAUCUGUUUAAAAUAACGCUCCUUUACAUUUCACCAGAACUCAUUUUGCAAUACGGCGGUAAGCUAUUGUCUGUGAAUGUGUAGUACAUUAGCCGCUAUAGGUAAAUAAAUAACUAUAGGAAUAAAUUGCAGUAAAUUGUAAAACUAUUUGCACUACAAACCAUUUCCCCUAAUCUUUUUUUAAUGCAUGCGUCAUCUUACAUGGCAAUGUUUUUAGGAAUUCAGUUUUUGUACUUAAUUUAUAUUUAUUAACUUUUAUUUAAUUUAAAAAAAUAAUAAUAAUUGAUUUUUAGAUAUUCCAUAUUGAACAGUAGUUUGAAUGAAACUGAUUGAUACAGCAUUACAGAACAGACUGCAGUGUUGUAUAAAUAUCCAACAUUAAUAUAUUUAUCUAUUUUUAUUACAUGUUUUUAGUCUUGAUAUGCAGUAUGUCUGAUAAUGGCUGUAUUUCUGUCUUGUCUCUCCAGAAUGAGUGGUAUCUUGGUUGUAAACUGGUCCGGCUGAAGCAGAGCUCUGGGACGUGUGGACAGACAUUGACUGUAUUGAUGGACAUCUGCUCAUGGACAGCAUAACCGCUGCUGGUCACAGUGCCGGAAGCUCCAGGGGGAGACCGUAAUGAUAUCCCCCUUCUUUGGGCGCGCCUUCACACACACUCCACCAUUCACUCAUAUCGCAGAGACCUGGCUGGGAUUGAACCAGCAACCUCUGAACCGUGAGGCAGCGCUCUUACCUGUGAGCCACAGGUCUCUUGUUGAACCACUGGAAGGAACUUAUAUUUGACUGUUUACCUGUGAUUUCCCAAUAAAGAAGUUAAAGUAAAUGUGAUUUCCCAAUAAAGAAGUUAAAGUAAACUGGGUCUGUGAUUUUUGGAGGUGGGUUUUGAACCCAUGUCUCCAUCGCAGGUUCACCCUCAGAGAAUGUGUGUUUAUCCACUUACCCAUCAUGGAUUCCUUGUUUUUUUUUGGCGUUUGAGUGACUUUGUUGUCUGAGAUCAAUUUAAAGUAAGCAGUAGUGGGAUUUGAACUCAGAUCUCCCGGAUUACAACACAAAGCUUUAUCAACUGAACCACUGAGUCUGUGGAGCUGAAUCACCACACGAGGGCGAAACCAGUUUAAGAUCAUUAGACUUGAUUGUAAUUCACAAAAAUCACCACACGAGGGCGAAACCAGUUUAAGAUCAUUAGACUUGAUUGUAAUUCACAAAAAUCACCACAGGAGGGCGAAACCAGUUUAAGAUCAUUAGACUCGAUUGUAAUUCACAAAAUCAACCACAGGAGGGCGAAACCAGUUUAAGAUCAUUAGACUUGAUUGUAAUUCACAAAAAUCACCACACGAGGGCGAAACCAGUUUAAGAUCAUUAGACUUGAUUGUAAUUCACAAAAAUCACCACACGAGGGCGAAACCAGUUUAAGAUCAUUAGACUUGAUUGUAAUUCACAAAAAUCACCACACGAGGGCGAAACCAGUUUAAGAUCAUUAGACUUGAUUGUAAUUCACAAAAAUCACCACACGAGGGCGAAACCAGUUUAAGAUCAUUAGACUUGAUUGUAAUUCACAAAAAUCACCACACGAGGGCGAAACCAGUUUAAGAUCAUUAGACUUGAUUGUAAUUCACAAAAAUCACCACACGAGGGCGAAACCAGUUUAAGAUCAUUAGACUUGAUUGUAAUUCACAAAAAUCACCACACGAGGGCGAAACCAGUUUAAGAUCAUUAGACUUGAUUGUAAUUCACAAAAAUCACCACACGAGGGCGAAACCAGUUUAAGAUCAUUAGACUCGAUUGUAAUUCACAAAAAUCACCACAGGAGGGCGACACCAGUUUAAAUUCAAUAGACUCGAUUGUAAUUCACAAAAUCACCACAGGAGGGCGACACCAGAUUAGGAUCAUUAGACUCGAUUGUAAUUCACAAAAUAGCCACAGGAGGGCGACACCAGAUUAAAUUCAUUAGACUUGAUUGUAAUUCACAAAAAAUCACCACAGGUAGGGCGAACCAGUUUAAAUUCAUUAGACUCGAUUGUAAUUCACAAAAAUCACCACAGGAGGGCGACACCAGUUUAGGAUCAUUAGACUCGAUUGUAAUUCACAAAAAUCACCACAGGAGGGCGACACCAGUUAAGGAUCAUUAGACUCGAUUGUAAUUCACAAAAAUCACCACAGCAUGUCUUAUGAGUCUGCUCUGAACCGAGUCUAAUGAACGCCCUCCUGUUGGUUUUGUGCAUUGCUAUUUAGGUCAAUGUUUGUAUAUGAUUUUGUUCUGUCCUCUUCUACUAAAAUAAACUGGUAAGCAAAAAAAAAGUCAGAGGACCUAAAGCAGGCCCUCCUGUGGUGAGAGGCGGACACCAGUUUAGGAUCAUUAGACUCGAUUGUAAUUCACAAAAAUCACCACAGCAUGUCUUAUGAGUCUGCUCUGAACCGAGUCUAAUGAACGCCCUCCUGUGGUUUUUUUUGUGCAUUGCUAUUUUAGGUCAAUGUUUGUAUAUGAUUUUGUUCUGUCCUCUUCUACUAAAAUAAACUGGUAAGCAAAAAAAAGUCAGAGGACCUAAAGCAGGCCCUCCUGUGGUGAUUUUUGUGAAUUAC
rnacentral:lncRNA from 1 species